rnacentral:sRNA from 1 species
AAUAAAAACAAUUUGGUCUUAGUCAUCAAAUUUUAAUUUUUUUUGGGUUUUUUUUUGCCGUCUAUAUUUAUUAUUUAUUGCAAAUUAUGAGAACUGUUUCAUAUACAAUUCUACCCAGAACAAUUUUUACGACUCUUAUUAGAUCUACGAGAGAUGAUAUCUCCUUCUUCUUCUCCAUGCUUUUGAUAGACAUAUUCAAUGAUCCUCUUUACGUAGAAUCUUGACGAACGGCUAUAAUUGUACAUCGUUGGAGAUCUCAUGUACAUUUACCUCCAUUAAUCUGCAAAUUUGUUAAUAAAUCUUAGUAUCUGGGACUCGAACCUCAAAUUUUUUGGUAUAAAAACAUUAAUAAACCUUUCGUCAAUCAAAGGGAUUUCCAAAAUCACGCAAUAUCCCUACCUAAACUGGAAACUCCGACCCAAAAUCAAACAAAAA